rnacentral:rRNA from 1 species
UACGGAAGGCAGCAGUAGGGAAUAUUGGGCAAUGGCCGAGAGGCUGACCCAGCCAUGCCGCGUGCAGGAUGAAGGCUUUUCUGAGUCGUAAACUGCUUUUGCCAGGGAAGAAAAAGGGCGUGCGCGCUCUACUGACGGUACCUGGUGAAUAAGCACCGGCUAACUCCGUGCCAGCAGCCGCGGUAAUACGGAGGGUGCAAGCGUUGUCCGGAUUUAUUGGGUUUAAAGGGUGCGUAGGCGGCCGUUUUAAGUCUGGGGUGAAAGCCCGUUGCUCAACAACGGAACUGCCCUGGAAACUGGAUGGCUUGAGUACAGACGAGGGUGGCGGAAUGGAUGCUGUAGCGGUGAAAUGCAUAGAUAGCAUCCAGAACCCCGAUUGCGAAGGCAGCUGCCUAGACUGUAACUGACGCUGAGGCACGAAAGCGUGGGGAGCGAACAGGGAUUAGAAUAACCC